rnacentral:sRNA from 12 species
AGGGUUGUCGAUCUGGCCCCUACUUAAGUCCAGAUCUAAUGCUAAAAAGGUAAUUUAAAAUG